AUAUAUAUAUAUAUAUAUAUAUAUAUAUAUUCCAGCCCUACGAGACUGAAGCCAUUAAUUCAGGAAUCAAGAGUUACUUUACUUUGCCAAGCUUGUUCCGGCUUCCUUCUGCAGAGGACAUGGAGGAUGUUAACUCGGAGGACGGGUCCAGGAGUACUAGUGAUUGGAUGAUUAAUAGCGAGUUUUGGUAUUUCAUUGUGUUUUUCAUUGUGUAUGGGUCGCCUGUAUAGUAUUGUUCGUGUGGUUUAUUAAGAGUUUUGUGGAACAAGUACAUCUCUUACAAAAUAUUAAAGAUCCAAACCAUGAUAUUAAAGAAGAUUGGUUUGCUACAUUUUAUGGAUU